UCAUUAUGCACUUUGUAAUAUUCAUGUUAUACCAGUGCAGUGGUAUAUUUUUAUAUAACCAACUACCACACCGAUGUUAGCAUAGCAUUAAUUAGCACGUGAGCUAGCUAAUUAGCAAUAGCACCCUUUUGCACGUGAGCUAGCUAAUUGCUUAGAAUGAGGGAAUCUUAUUUGGACAAAUUUGCCUACUUGAGCAGUAAGCCUAGGUUUACAUGUACAGUUGUAAUCAAUUUUAUAUUGGAUUUUCUAUGUUUCUUCAAUGUAUGCCUUGUUGUGUAUGGCUGGCUCUAAAUGUGUAUCGUUAAUGCCGACGGCCAUUCCCUAAAUUGCACAUAGCGAGUCUACACAGCCUACACAUAGCAUAUACAAUAAUGAAAUUAAAUGCCUAUUGCUUAUUUUAUGUCUAUACUUAUUUUCUUUGAUGUAUAGAAACACGUUAGUGUGUUAUUGGAGGGCGAGAGUCCCAAAAUGUAAAAAUGUGGCAGCAGUCAACUUCAUCACUGCCCCUUCUGCACAUGUAAGGCUGAACAAUAUAUGGUCAACAACCACAUCAAAGGUCAUGCUUCAGUGGGGCACAGAGAAACAGUGCUCAGAUCUUGUCCCCUAGACCUUGGAGGACUUUUGGUGUGGAUGAUGUUCAGGGCCUACCAAAGCCAGGUUUCUCAAACAACUGUGGGGUGUUUGUUUUGAUGUUUUUACAUUGCAUACACAAUUCAUACGUCAAACUCCUGCAGUGCUGGAUGCUGAUGUGACAUGCUGUGACUUCUUGGCGGGGGAUGUUUUCGACAUACUGAAAUAUAUUCCUGGGGGGGAUGGUAUUGUUAUUAUUUACCAUUAUCAUUAUUAUUGUUGUUAUCAUAACUAUCAAACUUAACAACCUACUCUUUCUUAACUUACAGCACGCUCUGUAAAUUGCAAUGGAAGCAGUGUGAUUUCACUGAGGAAAACAUGCAGCAAAUUAGACGAUGGUGGUGCCUAGUUCUCCUGCAGAACUUUUCCAUGCCAUAAGUCUUUUCAUUUGCAUCCUUAAAAUCACUUGUUUCACUCUAGCCAGUUUCACUUUCAUAUUGAAUGUAUGUCAUUCACUCACUAAGGUCUGAAGAAGAGAGGUUGAAAGAUGGAUAAAGGCGUCGAAAACAAAACACACUACAGCUAGGUGUCAUAUGAUGAGUGGUAUGGUCUUAAACCAAUGUUUAAAGACUUAACCUCCCCCCUUCUCCAAUAUAUUUCAGGAUGAUGUAGAAGAUGUCCCCCCCAAGAAGACACAGCAUGUCACAUCAGCAUCCAGCUCUGCAGGAUCAGACGAUACUGAAAACAAAAUACACAGCGAGCUGUGAACUGGGAAGCAGAUGUUCUUCUAAGGGACACCCUAGAGGCAGCCAGGUGGUGUGAACAGCAGGAGUGAAGCCAUUUUUGAGGAGUGGUCAAACAUUGUUUUUGUCUGCUGUGUUAAUUAUUUGUGUUGUUUAGUAAAGAUGAUGUAGAAGUCAGCCGAGUCUC